UGGGGGAAUUUUGGACAAUGGGCGAAAGCCUGAUCCAGCAAUGCCGCGUGUGUGAAGAAGGCCUUCGGGUUGUAAAGCACUUUUGUCCGGAAAGAAAUCCUCUGGGUUAAUACCUCGGGGGGAUGACGGUACCGGAAGAAUAAGCACCGGCUAACUACGUGCCAGCAGCCGCGGUAAUACGUAGGGUGCAAGCGUUAAUCGGAAUUACUGGGCGUAAAGCGUGCGCAGGCGGUUUUGUAAGACGGAUGUGAAAUCCCCGGGGCUUAACCUGGGGAACUGCAUUCGUGACUGCAAGGCUAGAGUAUGGCAGAGGGGGGUAGAACUCCACGUGUGAGCAGUGAAAUGCGUAGAGAUGUGGAGGAAUACCGAUGGCGAAGGCAGCCCCCUGGGCCAAUACUGACGCUCAUGCACGAAAGCGUGGGGAGCAAACAGGAUU
rnacentral:rRNA from 1 species